GACCGCCCGGCGCCCUGGGGGACCCACGGCGCCUGGACCGAAAAGCGUGGGGCGAAGGGGCUGCCCAGGCCUGGGUCCCUCUUGAGAACCAGCAGCACUAGAGCCCGGUGUGGUGGUGCAUGCCUGUGAUUGCAGCACCAGGGAGGCUGAGGAAGGAGGAUCUCCAGGCCAGGCUGGGCUACAAAGCGAGACCCUGUCAAACAAACGAACGAACGAACGAACGAGAAAACCAAAAAACAAAGAGGUGAGCGCAGCAGGAGUCACGACCAGGGAGACUGAAGUACAGCGCACAGACGCCAGAGGGAGCCAGAGGCUUCGAGCUCAGACAGGAAACGGGCAGAUGGGAAAUUACGCUGACAAAGCCGGACAGUUUAAAAGGCAGAAUAACAGAAUGCCACAACUGUGAGGAGAGAGGAAGAAGAGGAGGAGGCGGAGGAGGAAGGAGAAGAAAGAGCCCUCAUGACUCUGAACCUGCUGGCACACUGAUCUUGGACAUCCGUGACUCCUCACCACCUUCAAACAAAAGCAGAAGACAAAGCAAAGAACGCUUCAAAGCUUCACAGCUUUACAUCUCCAAGAUAAAAGUGAAGACUAUGCUGUGAUUCAUCUAAAAGACAAAGAGAGCCAGCUUGACUUUCCUGCCACGUGGACUUCUCACUCCAUCUCUGAUGCUAAGAUCAAGUUGAUCAGAACCAGAUGACCAGGACAAGAAGCCGAGGACAGCAGAGAUGAACAGCAAGCCCAAGGGCCUGGACCAGGCCAGCAAAAAUCCAACUUCUCAUGCUCCUUCUUUUAGGAUUCUCUGAUCCUGCCCAGAGAAGCCCUGAUUCAUGGAGGCUCAACGCUGUCAUUCCACCAGCAACCUGCCAGUGGCUGGCUCUGCCAUGGCUGGUCUAUAAAUUCCUUCUCAAAGGAUAAUGAUGCAAUUAUUGUCCUUAUAACUAAUUUCUCCUCAGUACCCCCUUUCAUAGACCUCAAUACGUUACCUACUGAGUUUGUCUGUAUCCUCCUCACACCAAAUGUGUCCUGUGUUUUUUUCUUACCCUACCUAAAGAAUCACCUAUAAUGCUUUCUGUCCCUAAAUCCAAAAACCCCAUGGCUAUAAUAAAAAAAAAAUCAUAAGACUGA